rnacentral:rRNA from 1 species
CCUACGGGAGGCAGCAGUGGGGAAUCUUAGACAAUGGGGGCAACCCUGAUCUAGCCAUGCCGCGUGAGUGAUGAAGGCCUUAGGGUCGUAAAGCUCUUUCGCCUGUGAUGAUAAUGACAGUAGCAGGUAAAGAAACCCCGGCUAACUCCGUGCCAGCAGCCGCGGUAAUACGGAGGGGGUUAGCGUUGUUCGGAAUUACUGGGCGUAAAGCGCGCGUAGGCGGAUUAGAAAGUUGGGGGUGAAAUCCCGGGGCUCAACCCCGGAACUGCCUCCAAAACUGCUAGUCUAGAGUUCGAGAGAGGUGAGUGGAAUUCCGAGUGUAGAGGUGAAAUUCGUAGAUAUUCGGAGGAACACCAGUGGCGAAGGCGGCUCACUGGCUCGAUACUGACGCCGAGGUGCGAAAGUGUGGGGAGCAAACAGGAUUAGAUACCCUGGUAGUCCACACCGUAAACGAUGAAUGCCAGUCGUCGGAUAGUAUACUAUUCGGUGACACACCUAACGGAUUAAGCAUUCCGCCUGGGGAGUACGGUCGCAAGAUUAAAACUCAAAUGAAUUGACGG